UAAAGUAGCAUGUAAAUUCGAGACGUGCAGAAAGAAAGAUGAAAUUGGAGACAUUGGAAAAGUGCAACUUAUUAGUUUUAAGAAGAGGAGAGUGUAUGUGGUAGUAUCCAUUCAAUCCACAUGAGGGCUGCCAAAAACAAAACCAGCAGCCGUUAGAUGGUGGUUUGGGAUAUGAGUGACGAGAAUCCGAGGGUGGAUACAGAAGGAUGGUCCAUUGUUUAAAGUGGGAGACAGUGUAGGUAAUUGGUGGGUGGUCGGCCCGCCCCCUGCAUGUGAUGAGUGGCAGCGCGUGAGCCUGUAACGUGGGGUACAUCGUUCUUCCUUUCUCUUCUGAAAAAGUAAUACUUGUGUAAUUUAAUUAAUCAUAUUUUAUAAAGGAUCUUACAAUAUGUUACAUGGAA